GAUGAACGCUAGCGGCAGGCCUAACACAUGCAAGUCGAGGGGUAGAACACUUCGGUGUUUGAGACCGGCGCACGGGUGCGUAACGCGUAUGCAAUCUACCUUGUACAGGGGAAUAGCCCAGAGAAAUUUGGAUUAAUGCCCCAUAGUAUAUAACCUUCGCAUGUUGGUUAUAUUAAAGUUCCAACGGUACAAGAUGAGCAUGCGUCCCAUUAGUUAGUUGGUAAGGUAACGGCUUACCAAGACGAUGAUGGGUAGGGGUCCUGAGAGGGAGAUCCCCCACACUGGUACUGAGACACGGACCAGACUCCUACGGGAGGCAGCAGUGAGGAAUAUUGGCCAAUGGGCGCAAGCCUGAACCAGCCAUGCCGCGUGCAGGAAGACGGUCCUAUGGAUUGUAAACUUCUUUUAUAAGGGACGAAAAAAGGUCUUUCUAGAUCGUCUGACGGUACCUUAUGAAUAAGCACCGGCUAACUCCGUGCCAGCAGCCGCCGUAACAC
rnacentral:rRNA from 1 species